AGAAUCAACGCUGGCGGCGUGCCUAACACAUGCAAGUCGCACGAGAAAGGGACUUCGGUCCUGAGUACAGUGGCGCACGGGUGAGUAACACGUGAAUAAUCUACCUCCGAGUGGGGAAUAACUGAGAGAAAUCUUAGCUAAUACCGCAUAACACUUACGAGUCAAAGCAGCAAUGCGCUUGGAGAGGAGUUCGCGGCAGAUUAGUUAGUUGGCGGGGUAAUGGCCCACCAAGACUAUGAUCGGUA
rnacentral:rRNA from 1 species